GUUUGUUUGUUUUUCAUCCAUCCUGAUUCCUAGGUAAUGCCUCCAAAGGGCUUUAAAAGUAUAAGGGCUAGAGUCAUGAUUCAUUAUCCUGAAGAAGGGCCCAGUGUGGGCUUGUAAAGGCAUUCUUGUCCAAAGCACUUUAGCUCUCUACAUAUAUGUGUCUUGUGCCUCAGUGUCCUAAUUUCCAGCUGUUCAUUAGAAUUAGCCAGGGAGAUUUCAAAAUAACCAUGUCCAGGUCCUAUCCAGAUCAAUUAAAUCAACAGCUCUGGUGGUAAAGCCCACACAUGGAUUUUUUUUAAGCUGCCAUGAUUCUAAUAUGCAGCUGGGGUUGAGAGAAAUUGCUUUAAAUGCUAUAGAAAGGCCAUGGAGAGGCCAGUGGCCAGGCUAGAGCUCUAAGAAGACAAGUCUGGCUGUGGUUCCAGCUGUGAGGCUGAAGCCAUCAGUGUGCAUGUGAUUGCCUAGGGAAAGGGUAGAGUCAGAGAGAGCUGAGGACUGAACCUUAGGAAAGCCCAAUACUAGUGAGGCAAGAAGAAGUGGGAGGGAUUCUGAAAGAGACUGAAGUGGACGAACUUGAGAUGCCAGAGAAAAGCCUGGGCUGCUCUCCUGGCAGCCAAGAGAGAAGCCAUGGUGGUCAGAGAGGUCAACAGUGCUAAUGCCACCAAGAGGCUGAUUUAAGAUUACGACUGAAAAGUCUUCAUUGGACUUGACGUCCAGGAAGUCUUGGGUGGCCUUAGAGGAGCAUGGUGGGGCCAGGGAAGCUGAAAUGCAGUGGGUUGAGAAGUAAAUGGAGGUGAGCCAAGAGAGACAAUGAAACUCCUUUCAGCAAGCCAAGGAUGCAGUUAUAACUGGGCCGGAUCAUCUCCCCUGAGACAGUACAGACAUCUACCAGCACUAUAUACCAGAGAGAAGCCAUGUCCAAACUCUGAGCCAGAAUAUGCAGCCUAUUUAAAACCUGCUUGAUUAUUCUCAGAAACAGUGGCUAACUCGAGGGUAAAAUAGGCCACUGCAGCCAGGUGGCAAACUGAGCAAUACCAGCCACGACUCGUGGCCACAAAAAUCAGUGUCGAAGCUGCCAAGCCUUCGAGGCCUGACUUUGUUGCCUAACAGGAAACCCAUGGAGCAAAACAACCUAUACUCCUCCCCCAGAAUGGUUGACCACUAUAAGGAAACUCAGAGAGCCUACAAUGAGAGAAAACCCACAAAAACACCAAAAAAGAAACAGAAGAACCCUAUGUGAACAGCCCAACGCUGUCAACUAUGACCAACAACCUUGACACUACGAGGGGACUUUGCUGUCUUAUCUCUGCUAGCCUUCUUCAGGGCAGAAACCAGCUCUGCAGCAGGACAGGAGGGGGACAGAGCCAGUGCAUGGUGUUGUGUCUUUCUCCCCUCCUCCUCUCUUCAAGGGGCUGCCCACUCCUCCUCUCCCAAUCUGACCCUGUCAAGAUCCACUUGCACCAGAGGAGCUACCGAGCUAGGUAGGACCCAGCAGGCCACCGGGCCCAGGCUUCAGCAACUGACCUAUGGGGAUAACCUGGAUAAACUUCAAAACUUUGUCUCCUCCUUGGUUGCCACUUGGCUUACAUCAAAAAGACAAGGACGCAUCAGAAUAGCUAUUCCCCCUGGGCUGGGGGUGACAGGAAGGGGACACAAAGGGGUACUCUCUUUCUUGAUCUGGG
rnacentral:lncRNA from 1 species